rnacentral:rRNA from 1 species
GGGUUCAGAACGUCGUGAGACAGUUCGGUCCCUAUCCACUGCAGGCGUCAGAAUAUUGAAGGGAUCUGUCCUUAGUACGAGAGGACCGGGAUGGACGGACCAAUGAUGUACCGGUUGUCACGCCAGUGGCACGGCCGGGUAGUCACGUCCGGAAGGGAUAACCGCUGAAAGCAUCUAAGCGGGAAGCCCACCCUGAGAUGAAUGUUCUUUCAAGCAUCCGCCGAGAACAGGCGGUGAUAGGCCGGGGGUGCAAGCAUGGCGACAUGUUCAGCUGACCGGUACUAAUAAUGCGUAGGCUUACU